AUUGAACGCUGGCGGCAUGCUUUACACAUGCAAGUCGAACGGUAACAGGCCGCAAGGUGCUGACGAGUGGCGAACGGGUGAGUAAUGCAUCGGAACGUGCCCAGUCGUGGGGGAUAACGCAGCGAAAGCUGCGCUAAUACCGCAUACGAUCUAUGGAUGAAAGCGGGGGACCGUAAGGCCUCGCGCGAUUGGAGCGGCCGAUGUCAGAUUAGGUAGUUGGUGGGGUAAAGGCUCACCAAGCCAACGAUCUGUAGCUGGUCUGAGAGGACGACCAGCCACACUGGGACUGAGACACGGCCCAGACUCCUACGGGAGGCAGCAGUGGGGAAUUUUGGACAAUGGGCGCAAGCCUGAUCCAGCAAUGCCGCGUGCAGGAAGAAGGCCUUCGGGCUGUAAACUGCUUUUGUACGGAACGAAACGGUCCUGGUUAAUACCUGGGGCUAAUGACGGUACCGUAAGAAUAAGCACCGGCUAACUACGUGCCAGCAGCCGCCGCAG
rnacentral:rRNA from 1 species